CUCAAGUGAGGACAAAGAGGUGCUCUACUCUGCCAAAAUAGGGUUCAGAUGCUGUGGUCACCUUUACUAUAACACCACCCUGUGGUCAUGCUGUGCUGGGGGGCUGAGAAGAAUCUGUGAACCAGGACAGGAUCAGAGAAAGAUGAUUAAUGGAUCCAGACUUCUAUCUGUGAAUAAUCUGAACAAAAUCGAUCUUUGCAAAGAAAUGCACAUUGGGACUGUGGAAAGUGUGUCGCUGCAGAGCAUUGUGUUCAGGAGUGUGCUGAAGGUCCAUGGGAUGGAGGCCAAAGUGAAAGCUCUGCCUUUCCCUUACAUCCUGGAAAGAGAUGAUCGCUGCAGC